UAGCGGGGGGAGCAAGCGUUGUUCGGAUUUACUGGGCGUAAAGGGCGCGUAGGCGGCCACCGCAAGUCAGUUGUGAAAUCUUCUGGGACUUAACCCGAGAAAGGUCAACUGAUUACUGCGGGGCUAGAGUGCAGGAAAGGGGGCAACUGGAAUUCUCGGUGUAGCGGUGAAAUGCGUAGAUAUCGAGAGGAACACCUGCGGCGAAGGCGGGUUGCUGGGCUGACACUGACGCUGAGGAGCGAAAGCGUGGGGGAGCAAACAGG
rnacentral:rRNA from 1 species